AUGGGUGACGAUGGUGUUACCAAU
rnacentral:siRNA from 1 species